GCCAGUUAGACAGGACCAUGGCUUUUACCUUUGUCUUCCUGGGAUCUAGUAUAGGAUCUGGUCCAUUGAAGACAACCAAUUGGAAUUUGUUGAGUGGAAACAACUUUGAUGCUGAAGAACAAGACAGACAUGGUCUCUACCCUCUGGGAUGUAUCAACUAAGGCAAUAAUGUGACAGAUAAACCCUGAAAUCCCACAAACUUCAUCCCAUGCGAGUUUACUUCUCAAUAAAAAUGAAUGUGGAUAUUCCUA